GUGCCAGCAGCCGCGGUAAUACGAAGGGUGCAAAGCGUCGUUACUCGGAAUUACUGGGGCGUAAAGCGUGCGUAGGUGGUUGUUUAAGUCUGUUGUGAAAAGCCCUGGGCUCAACCUGGGAACUGCAGUGGAAACUGGACGACUAAGAGUGUGGUAGAGGGUAGCGGAAUUCCUGGUGUAGCAGUGAAAUGCGUAGAGAUCAGGAGGAACAUCCAUGGCGAAGGCAGCUACCUGGACCAACACUGACACUGAGGCACGAAAGCGUGGGGAGCAAACAGGAUUAGAUACCCUGGUAGUCC
rnacentral:rRNA from 1 species